UACAGAGGGGGCAAGCGUUGUUCGGAAUUACUGGGCGUAAAGGGCUCGUAGGUGGCCAACUAAGUCAGACGUGAAAUCCCCUCGGCUUAACCGGGGGAACUGCGUCUGAUACUGGAUGGCUUGAGUUUGGGAGAGGGACGCGGAAUUCCAGGUGUAGCGGUGAAAUGCGUAGAUAUCUGGAGGAACACCGGUGGCGAAGGCGGCGUCCUGGACCAACACUGACACUGAUGAGCGAAAGCCAGGGGAGCAAACGGGG
rnacentral:rRNA from 1 species